rnacentral:tRNA from 1 species
GGCUACAUGGUGUAAUGGUUCAGCACGUCGGAUUCUGAUUUUCGCAAGAAUCAUAGUUCCGGAGAUCUUGGUUCGAUUCCUAGUGAGGCCU